rnacentral:lncRNA from 1 species
ACCUGGGGAGUCUAGAAGCCUCGGCUUCUCCUAUCCUCGGCCACUUAUCUUGCUUGGCUUUUAGCCAAAGCUUCUUUCAACACAUGAUAAGCAUUGGUCCCACAUGGCUCAGAGCCCACCCCAAGAGCAAGAGAACCAAUUCUCCUCAAAAGAAAGAAAGAGAGAGAGAGAGAGAGAGAAAGAAAGAAAGAAAGAAAGAAAGAAAGAAAGAAAGGAAGGAAGGAAGAAGAAAAGAAAGAGAGAAAGAAAAGAUCCCCUGGGAAAUGCACUUUCCUGCACUAUCUAUGUGGCCUGAAGAGAAAGGAAAGACUGUCUUCCUGGAUUGGAGUUCCCAAGAGUGAGCAGAUGUACUCCUGUUGAUCCCCGAGUUCUCUUUCCGGUAGCUGUUCCACAUCUGUUAAGUGUCAACAUGUCACUCCCUUGCCUCGUUCACGUUUUAAUCACUUUUUAUUAUUUUAAGAUGUUCCGAAGAGUCAGAAAUGGAGCCUACUUUGCAACUUUUGGAAGCUUUCCCGAGCCAAUAAACAUGUGGUUCGCUUUAA